UCGCACGCAGAGUACGACGUCGGUUGCGUGAGAGCGAAGCGUGUCGGUUGUUCGCGCGAGUGUGUGAAUAUUCAUUGACCAAGUCACCACUCAUGAACGCGCGCGCAUUUCGUCAAAAUGUGACCGGGCGAUUCUGCUAAUUUCGCGAUUUUACGACGCAUCUAUAUUGACGUGUUUGCGACACUUUCUCGGAGGUGAAAAGCGAAAAAACGCCGGAAAAUUUCGCGCUUCACUGGGACUUAACACUAACGGCGAUUACGAUAUUCUCAUGAGGAAAGCUAAAGUUUCAGAUGGAGAAUCAAGGUUACGAGGAGGAGCAAUCGCGCGUAGAAGAAAAGCAGUCCACAUCCGAGUCUCAUUACUGCGAUCGAAAGCUUCACAUGGACACGGUCGACGGUGAUUCUUUAUUCACCAAAAUCACGACGCAUCCCGAGAGUCACGUGUACGAAGACAUCUCCACCACGGAGAGUUCUUUCAAAAUUUCCGAGCGAGCAUCCUUUCCUGACGAGACUCAGAACAUCCGAGAAACUCAGAAUUGCCGAUCGACCGAUUUCACCAAGCAAGCUUGGACUAACGAAACAUCAAUCACGUCUCCCGUGAUCGAAAAAUCUUUCCAACAGAAUUCGACGUUAUCUUCCUCAACUGGAAUUAGUGCAAAUCGCGACAGCGUGAACUCCUUCGAGCGAGCGGUGUCCAGAACAAUCGGAGAUGACACCGAGAUAUCCUGCAGAAAUCGUUGUGAUCUCUCAGGAAACCUGCACAAGAACGUUGAAGCGAACGUAUCCUCGUUAUCUCGGCAAAACGAAAAUUCGUCACGAGAGACAACAGAGCAACCCGAUCGCAGACCAAAUCGCAGGCGCAAGAAAAAGGAUUGCAAACAGUGCAAGAGCAAAUUGGCUAAUACGAAUUCUUGUGAGAAGCUUGAUGAGUUGGCCGCUAGUAAGGACACGAUCUUGAGAGAGAACAAAAGCAAUCAUCGGGACAAAGAUCCAGACGCGCCUAAUUUCCUGUUUCGUGAUUCAAUCCUGAGAUCGCAAAACAUCAAGAUUUAUCCGAUUUUGAAUAGGACGAGUCUACGAGAUCUUGGUACCAGAAGAAGCUGCUCUGUUCCCAUGUGUGAGAAUGGGCCGCGUUUGACAGAAGGUGCGGUCAAUCUUUUGGCAAAUGCGCGAAACAAUAAAAUGCUGGACCAAACGGGAAGUAAUCAAAAUAAGUUGCUAGACGUUCCAAACAACGAAACCGAUAUGAGGGUUAAUUCGAUCUACUCGCAGGGUCGCUGGUACGGCAAGGACAUGCCAAUCUUUUACACUAAUCUCAAGGAUCAAAAUCCUUUUCAGAGGGCCUAUUCCUUGCCGGUACGAACGCACACUCCGACCUCGCAGAAUCGCGUUAAUUUACGUCGAAGCGUUAGAAACGAUCCGCCACCGCAUCCGGCACGUCUGGACAAGCAUCGCCGUGGUUGGACGCUGCACCUGGCUCGUCCCCUCAAGACAUCCGGAUGCUCCUGCUCGCUUAUACCCUUGCUGAUUAUCGUAUUAAUUCUACUGGGAAUCGCAGGGGUUGCAUUGUACAUCGUUUUCGAACCAGAAAAACUUCAAAUCAUCCAGCAGUACCUGAAAUCGUCGACGAACAAUUUGACGGAACAGAACGUUACAUCCGGCGAGUCGUUCACGCCCGUAAUUUCCAACGAUGAGCCGAAUUUGGUAGAUACAACCGAUACUUCAACAACUGUGACCACGAUGAUGACGAGUGUCGACGCGUUCACCAUGAGUGCCCUUUUAAAAGGCGACCCAUCAUUUCCGGAGAUCUCUUCGCCGUCGACCAACGCGGAAAUGAAAAAUGCGAGUCAGAACGUUAAUGCGACCAGAUAUUGUGACGACUGCUACGAAGGUGAAGUGUGCGUUGCCCUUGUUGACGAGGAAGUGCCGAUAUGCAGAAUCCCCCAUGACUCUGAGGAUCCCACCGGAUGUGCCGGUUUCUGCACCGUCAAUAAGCAAAAAUGCCAUCGUCUCGAUGUGGACGCUUUCAGAUGCGUAAAGAUAGAACAUCACUGUCUGGAGAACGAGUUUACGUGUUCUAACACUUUGUGUAUCCCUAUGGAGAAGCAUUGCGAUGGUCACAUGAACUGUUAUGAUCAUUCGGACGAAUACGAUUGUGUCUGCAAUCUGGAGACACAUUUUCAGUGCGGUAACGAGACUUCCUGCCUUCCGUUGGAGAGGAGAUGCGACGGAAAGAUAGAUUGCUGGGACGCAACAGACGAAAUUAAUUGCACGUUAGGUCGUAAUUUCGAUUGGUCUUGUCCCCUGGAGAGUGAAUUUACUUGUAACAACGGGGAAUGUAUAUCGAAAGUUCGCUUCUGUGAUGGGCUAACAGAUUGUAGUGAUGGAUCAGAUGAGCCUCAUGGGUGCCAAGGCAGAUGCAAUAAACACGAAUUUACAUGCCAAAAUGGUAGAUGCAUUACGAAAGGGAUGAAAUGUAACGGAGUUGACGACUGCGGAGAUGGUACAGACGAGAGACAUUGUAAAGACCGAUUUACCUGAUAUAAGCAUGUAAGAAAGAAGAUAUUGUCAAAGAAAAAUCAAAUGCAGUAUUUUAACUAAAUGUAAACAAACAAAUAAAUGAACAUCUCUGUGCUAUCUGGGUACAACGUGCAAAGAGUGGUUUCGCCGUUCCCAAAGUGGUGAUUUCUCUAUGGACAACAAGGACCGUGGAAAACCAUCCAAAAUAUUUGAAUACACGGAAUUGGACACAUUAUUGGACGAAGAGUCGAGUCAAACGCUGGUGGAGUUGGCCGAAGCCUUAAAUAUAGAUAAAUCAACAGUUUCCAGACGACUACAGACGCUGGGACGGGUGCACAAGUAAGAAAAUUGGGUAUCCCAUAUAUUGAAGGAAUGGGAUAUUGAACGCCAGAAAACCAUUUAUGAACUGUUGCUUAAACGAUAACAACGAAAAGGUUUUCUCCAUCGAAUCGUGACUGGAGAUGAAAAAUGGAUCUAUUUCGACAAUCCGAAGCGAAAAGCAGCAUGGGUACGUCUCGGAGAACCAAGUCCGUCGACGCCAAAAAGAAAUAUCCAUAAGUAAGGUCAUGCUCUGUAUCUGGUGGGAUCAGAGGGGUGUCGUGCAUUAUGAGCUGCUGAAACCGUCGAAAACCAUCACUGGGGAUCGUUAUCGACUGCAACUGGUCCGUUUGAAGCGAGCUCUACACGAGAAGAGACCGAAAUGGAAAAACCGCAAUGACAAGUUGAUUUUGCAGCACGACAAGGCCGCUCAACCAGUACUUAGAUUAGAUUACUCAAGAAGUACUUAGAAGGAGUGAACUGGGAAAUGUUUCCCCACCCACCAUAUUCCCCAGAUAUCGCCGUCUACUUUUGACACCGGAUUCGAAGAGAGCGGGAAAUUUUACGUCAGAAAUUUUUAAAUUUUUUAUUUUGACCUUUAGAAGGUCAAAUCAAGGUUUUAAAAGCUCUCAGAAGCU